ACAUUAAAAAAAGCCUUACUGUGGUCUAUAUAUUGAACACAAAAUAAUACAAGCAGUAAUACAAAGUACCCCGUGGAUAUUCGUCCGACACCGGAUCUUCGUGCUUCACGGCUAUUCAUCCGACAACGCUUUAAAAGCUAACACUAAACCACUAAAAGGGUUGCGUUGUUUCUUAAGAACAAAGCAACAACAUAUUCGAUACGCUAUACGUUUCGUACGCGGUGCGUAAGCGAAAAUCACGAAGAAAAAAAAAAGUAUAAAAAAAAAUAAUAAAA